GACGGAGGAUGCAAGCGUUAUCCGGAAUGAUUGGGCGUAAAGAGUCCGCAGGUGGCAGUUCAAGUCUGCUGUCAAAGACCGGGGCUUAACUUCGGAAAGGCAGUGGAAACUGAACAGCUAGAGUAUGGUAGGGGCAGAGGGAAUUCCUGGUGUAGCGGUGAAAUGCGUAGAGAUCAGGAAGAACAUCGGUGGCGAAGGCGCUCUGCUGGACCAUAACUGACACUCAGGGACGAAAGCUAGGGGAGCGAAUGGG
rnacentral:rRNA from 1 species